UACGUAGGGAGCGAGCGUUGUCCGGAUUUAUUGGGCGUAAAGAGCUCGUAGGCGGUUUGGCAAGUCGGAUGUGAAAGCUCCGGGCUCAACCCGGAGACGCCAUUCGAUACUGCCAUGACUAGAGUCCGGUAGGGGGGUGUGGAAUUCCCGGUGUAGCGGUGAAAUGCGUAGAUAUCGGGAGGAACAUCAGUGGCGAAGGCGGCCUUCUGGUCCAGUACUGACACUCAAGUGCGAAAGCGUGGGGAGCAAACAGG
rnacentral:rRNA from 1 species